rnacentral:rRNA from 1 species
GACGAACGCUGGCGGCGUGCUUAACACAUGCAAGUCGAGCGGUAAGGCCCUUUCGGGGGUACACGAGCGGCGAACGGGUGAGUAACACGUGGGUGACCUGCCCUCAGCUCUGGGAUAAGCCUGGGAAACCGGGUCUAAUACUGGAUAUGACUCCAUGACGCAUGUUGUGGGGUGGAAAGCCUUGUGCGGCUGAGGAUGGGCCCGCGGCCUAUCAGCUUGUUGGUGGGGUGAUGGCCUACCAAGGCGACGACGGGUAGCCGGCCUGAGAGGGCGACCGGCCACACUGGGACUGAGACACGGCCCAGACUCCUACGGGAGGCAGCAGCGGGGAAUCUUGCGCAAUGGGCGAAAGCCUGACGCAGCGACGCCGCGUGAGGGAUGACGGCCUGUGU